CCCCUAAAUGACCACUCAGUGAUGAAGGAAGUACGAGUGCAAAGACAGCCAGGAGGUUUGCCUAGAAGCAGCCAACCUUGAAAGAGUGUGUAAUAGCUCACUGAUCAAGCACUCUUGCACCGAAGAUGAAUGGGACUAAGUGAUUUUCCGAAGCUGUGGGAUGUAAAAAUACAUCAGUAGGGGAGUGUUCCGCCUCAGAGGGAAGCACCGGCGCGAGAAGGUGUGGACGAAGCGGAAGCGAGAAUGUCGACUUGAGUAAUGAAAACAUUGGUGAGAAUCCAAUGCCCUGAAAACCUAAGGGUUCCUCCGCAACGUUCAUCCAAGGAGGGUGAGUCAGGGCCUAAGAUCAGGCCGAAAGGCAUAGUCGAUGGACAACAGGUUAAUAUUCCUGUACUACCCCUUGUUGGUCCCGAGGGACGGAGGAGGCUAGGUUAGCCAAAAGAUGGUUAUCGGUUCAAGGACGCAAGGUUACCCUGCUUUUUUCAGGGUAAGAAGGGGUAGAGAAAAUGCCUCGAGCCAAUGUCUGAGUACCAAGCGCUACAGUGCUGAAGUAACCCAUGCCAUACUCCGAGGAAAAUCUCGAACGACCUUUAACAAAUGGGUACCUGUACCCAAAAUCGACACAGGUAGGUAGGUAGAGAAUACCUAGGGGCACAAGAAAACUCUCUCUAAGGAACUCGGCAAAAUAGCCCCGUAACUUCGAAAGAAGGGGUGCCUCCUCAGGAGGUCGCAGUGACCAGGCCCGGGCGACUGUUUAUCAAAAACACAGGUCUCCACAAAGUCGUAAGACCAUGUAUGGGGGCUGACGCCUACCCAGUGCUGGAAGGUUAAGGAAGUUGGUGACCUGAUGACGGGGAAGCCAUCGACUGAAGCCUCGGUGAACGGCGGCCAUAACUAUAACGGUCCUAAGGUAGCGAAAUUCCUUGUCGGGUAAGUUUUGACCCGCAUGAAAGGCGUAAUGAUCUGGGCACCGUCUCGGAGAGAGACUCGGUGAAAUAGACAUGUCUGUGAAGAUGCAGACUACCUGCACCUAGACAGAAAGACCCUAUGAAGCUUUACUGUUCCCUGGGAUUGUCUUUGGGUUCUUCUUGCAUAGCUUAGGUGGAAGGCAAAGAAGGCUCCCUCUCGGGGGGGCCUGAGCCACCAGUGAGAUACCACUCUAGAAGAGCUAGAAUUCUAACCUUGUGUCAGGACCUACGGGCCAAGGUACAGUCUCAGGUAGACAGUUUCUAUGGGGCGUAGACCUCCCAAAAGGUAACGGAGGCGUGCAAAGGUUUCCUCGGGCCGGAUGGAAAUCGGCCCUCGAGUGCAAAGGCAGAAGGGAGCUUGACUGGAAGACCCACCCAUCGAGUAGGGAUGGAAUUCAGCCUUAGUGAUCCAACGGUGCCGAGUGGAAGGGCCGUCGCUCAAUGGAUAAAAAUUACUCUAGGGAUAACAGGAUGAUCUUCCCCAAGAGUUCACAUUUAUGGGAAGGUUUGGCACCUCGAUGUCGGCUAUUCGCCACCUGGGGCGGUAGUACAUUCCAAGGGUUGGGUUGUUCGCCCAUUAAAGUGGUACGUGAGCUGGGUUCAGAAUGUCGUGAGACAGUUCGGUCCAUAUCCGGUGUGGGCGUUAGAGCAUUGAGAGGACCUUUCCCUAGUAUGAGAGGACCGGGAAGGAUGCACCUUUGGUGUACCAGUUAUCGUGCCCAUGGUAGACGCUGGGUAGCCAAGUGCAGAGCGGAUAACUACUGAAAGCAUAUAAGUAGGAAGCCCACCCCAAGAUGAGUGCUCUCCUAUUCUUACUUCCCUGAGAGCCCUAGUUAUGAACACGACUGGGACAAUGACGGGUUCUCUGUCUUUGUGGGGGAUGGAGCGACAAAAGUAUUGAGAAUCCAAGAUAAGGUCACAGCGAGACGAGCCAUUUAUCAUUAAGAUAGGUGUCAAGUGGAAGUGCAGUGAUGUAUGUAGCUGAGGCAUCCUAAUAGACUGAGAGAUUUGAACCU
rnacentral:ncRNA from 1 species